AGCUUUGCAGAGAGGCAGUAUUGUAGCAAAUAAGGUUUAUCCAAGGCUUAACUAUUGCUAAUUGAAAAAAAAAAUUGACAAACAUCACCUUCCUCUCCCACCAGGUCUUCUUCCAACUUUGCAUACGUUUUAAAAUG
rnacentral:snRNA from 1 species